UACGAAGGGGGCUAGCGUUGUUCGGAAUUACUGGGCGUAAAGGGCGCGUAGGCGGCCAUUCAAGUUAGGUGUGAAAGCCCUGGGCUCAACCUAGGAAUUGCACUUGAUACUGUUUGGCUUGAGUUCGGGAGAGGUGAGUGGAAUUCCCAGUGUAGAGGUGAAAUUCGUAGAUAUUGGGAAGAACACCAGUGGCGAAGGCGGCUCUCUGGACCGAUACUGACGCUGAGGCGCGAAAGCGUGGGGAGCAAACAGG
rnacentral:rRNA from 1 species